AAAGGAAUUGACGGGAGCCCGCACAAGCAGUGGAGUAUGUGGUUUAAUUCGACGCAACGCGAAGAACCUUACCAGGUCUUGACAUCCAGAGAAGUCUGCGUAAUGGCGGAUGUGCCCUUCGGGGAAUUCUGAGACAGGUGGUGCAUGGUUGUCGUCAGCUCGUGUCGUGAGAUGUUGGGUUAAGUCCCGCAACGAGCGCAACCCUUACGGUCAGUUGCUACGCAAGAGCACUCUGGCCGGACUGCCGUUGACAAAACGGAGGAAGGUGGGGAUGACGUCAAAUCAUCAUGCCCCUUAUGAUCUGGGCUACACACGUACUACAAUGGCGAAAACAAAGGGAAGCGAAGCUGCGAAGCGGAGCAAAUCCCAUAAAAGUCGUCCCAGUUCGGACUGCAGGCUGCAACCCGCCUGCACGAAGUUGGAAUUGCUAGUAAUCGCGGAUCAGCAUGCCGCGGUGAAUACGUUCCCGGGCUUUGUACACACCGCCCGU
rnacentral:rRNA from 1 species